rnacentral:ribozyme from 11 species
AGCGAGAAGAAACCACGACGUCAACACAUCACCUUAUUCUGCCUGCUCUUUUUCUCUUCCUCUUUUCCAUUUCUUCCUUUCUUGUGUGUUUCUUUUUGGUUGUUUGAUUCAUUUCUUUCUGCUCAUUCCUUCUUGCUUAAAGUGAUAAGGAAAGUGGGUGUGAGGGGGAAAGGGAAGACCGGGGCGGGGCUGCAUGCGUGCAUUUGUGAGAAUCUGCAUUUUGGUUUUUUCUUUUCAUGAUU